ACGUAAUAGAUACCCCGGUAGUCCACGCCCUAAACGAUGUCUACUAGUUGUCGGGUUUUAAUUAACUUGGUAACGCAGCUAAACGCGUGAAAGUAGACCGCCUGGGGAGUACGGUCGCAAGAUUAAAACUCAAAGGAAUUGACGGGGACCCGCACAAGCGGUGGAUGAUGUGGAUUAAUUCGAUGCAACGCGAAAAACCUUAACCUACCCUUGACAUGGCAGGAAUCCUGAAGAGAUUUGGGAGUGCUCGAAAGAGAACCUGCACACAGGUGCUGCAUGGCUGUCGUCAGCUCGUGUCGUGAGAUGUUGGGUUAAGUCCCGCAACGAGCGCAACCCUUGUCAUUAGUUGCUACGAAAGAGCACUCUAAUGAGACUGCCGGUGACAAACCGGAGGAAGGUGGGGAUGACGUCAAGUCCUCAUGGCCCUUAUGGGUAGGGCUUCACACGUCAUACAAUGGUACAUACAGAGGGCCGCCAACCCGGCGAGGGGGUAGCUAAUCCCAGAAAGUGUAUCGUAGUCCGGAUUGUAGUCUGCAACUCGACUAC
rnacentral:rRNA from 1 species